rnacentral:rRNA from 1 species
UGCAAGUCGAACGGUGAAGCCCAGCUUGCUGGGUGGAUCAGUGGCGAACGGGUGAGUAACACGUGAGCAACCUGCCCUCCACUUCGGGAUAAGCCUUGGAAACGGGGUCUAAUACCGGAUAUGAGCACAUGGCGCAUGUCGUGUGUUGGAAAGUUUUUCGGUGGGGGAUGGGCUCGCGGCCUAUCAGCUUGUUGGUGGGGUGAUGGCCUACCAAGGCGUCGACGGGUAGCCGGCCUGAGAGGGCGACCGGCCACACUGGGACUGAGACACGGCCCAGACUCCUACGGGAGGCAGCAGUGGGGAAUAUUGCACAAUGGGCGAAAGCCUGAUGCAGCGACGCCGCGUGAGGGAUGACGGCCUUCGGGUUGUAAACCUCUUUCAGCAGGGAAGAAGGCCUUCGGGUGGACGGUACCUGCAGAAGAAGCGCCGGCUAACUACGUGCCAGCAGCCGCGGUAAUACGUAGGGCGCAAGCGUUGUCCGGAAUUAUUGGGCGUAAAGAGCUCGUAGGCGGUCUGUCGCGUCUGGUGUGAAAACCUCAGGCUCAACCUGGGGCGUGCAUCGGGUACGGGCAGACUAGAGUGCGGUAGGGGAGACUGGAAUUCCUGGUGUAGCGGUGGAAUGCGCAGAUAUCAGGAGGAACACCGAUGGCGAAGGCAGGUCUCUGGGCCGCAACUGACGCUGAGGAGCGAAAGCAUGGGGAGCGAACAGGAUUAGAUACCCUGGUAGUCCAUGCCGUAAACGUUGGGCACUAGGUGUGGGGCUCAUUCCACGAGUUCCGUGCCGCAGCUAACGCAUUAAGUGCCCCGCCUGGGGAGUACGGCCGCAAGGCUAAAACUCAAAGGAAUUGACGGGGGCCCGCACAAGCGGCGGAGCAUGCGGAUUAAUUCGAUGCAACGCGAAGAACCUUACCAAGGCUUGACAUGCACCGGACGCUGCCAGAGAUGGUGGUUCCGCAAGGUCGGUGCACAGGUGGUGCAUGGGUUGUCGUCAGCUCCGUGUCGUGAGAUGUUGGGUUAAGU